UAGGGAAUCUUCCGCAAUGGACGAAAGUCUGACGGAGCAACGCCGCGUGAGUGAAGAAGGUUUUCGGAUCGUAAAACCCUGUCGUCAGGGACGAAGGUCACGAGUUUAAGAGAUGCGUGACUUGACGGUACCUGGAGAGGAAGCCCCGGCUAACUCUGUGCCAGCAGCCGCGGUAAUACAGAGGGGGCAAGCGUUAUUCGGAUUUAUUGGGCGUAAAGGGCGCGUAGGCGGUGUCUUAAGUGAGACGUGUAAUCCCCGAGCUUAACUUGGGAACUGCAUCUCAGACUGGGCGCUAGAGUACUGGAGAGGGUGGUAGAAUUCCACGUGUAGCGGUGAAAUGCGUAGAGAUGUGGAGGAAUACCAGUGGUGAAGGCGGCCACCUGGACAGUAACUGACGCUGAGGCGCGAAAGUGUGGGGAGCAAACA
rnacentral:rRNA from 1 species